AUUGAACGCUGGCGGAAUGCUUUACACAUGCAAGUCGAACGGCAGCACGGACUUCGGUCUGGUGGCGAGUGGCGAACGGGUGAGUAAUGUAUCGGAACGUGCCCAGUCGUGGGGGAUAAUGUAGUGAAAAUUACGCUAAUACCGCAUACGAUCUAUGGAUGAAAGCGGGGGAUCGCAAGACCUCGCGCGAUUGGAGCGGCCGAUAUCAGAUUAGGUAGUUGGUGGGGUAAAGGCCCACCAAGCCAACGAUCUGUAGCUGGUCUGAGAGGACGACCAGCCACACUGGAACUGAGACACGGUCCAGACUCCUACGGGAGGCAGCAGUGGGGAAUUUUGGACAAUGGGCGAAAGCCUGAUCCAGCCAUUCCGCGUGCAGGAUGAAGGCCCUCGGGUUGUAAACUGCUUUUGUACAGAACGAAAAGGUUUCUACUAAUACUAGGAGCUCAUGACGGUACUGUAAGAAUGAGCACCGGCUAACUACGUGCCAGCCGCCGCCGUAA
rnacentral:rRNA from 1 species